AUGAGGAUCCAUGGCCUCUUCUUCUAUUUCUUCAGUGCUACCAUCUUGAAACCGGUGCAGUUUCUGCUGCAUCUUCCUGACACUGGUCCUCAACUAGCUUAUUUUGCUCUUCUUUCUGAAGAUCCAUGGCCUACUUUUCCAAUUGUUGAGUGGGUACAGAAGUCUUCAUAUCAUCACCUAAUUGAUUGCAAACAAAAUUCUCAUCACUUUCAGAUACGACAGUCAAGACACAUAAUGCGGGACACUGCAACUACAGAAAGGCAUGGGACACGCACGGAUUUAAGUCCAUGUCAGGGGCAUCACCUGUCUCAUGUUCGCAGGAGGAAGAAGCUCCAAGUUCGCCGGAGGUACACAAACAUCCGUUGA
rnacentral:rRNA from 1 species